UAUCUCUAAAUGUAGAUGACUUGGCUGUG
rnacentral:piRNA from 2 species